rnacentral:rRNA from 1 species
GAUGAACGCUGGCGGCGUGCCUAAUACAUGCAAGUCGAGCGAACAGACGCGGCGCUUGCUCCUCUGACGUUAGCGGCGGGGGGGUGUGUCACACGUGUAUCACCCACCUAUAAGACUGGGAUCUCCUCGGGACACCGGCGCUAAUACCGGAUAAUAUCCUGAACCGCAUGGUUCAAUGGUGAAAGUCGGCUUUGCUGUCUGUUAUAGCUGGUUCGGCGCCGCAUUGGCUAGUUGGUAGGGUCACGGCCUACCACGGCGACGAUGCGUCGCCGACUUGUUAGGGGGAUCGGCGACACUGGAACGGGGACACGGUCCAGACUCCUACGGGAGGCAGCAGUAGGGAAUCUGACGCAGAGGGCGAAAACCUGACGGAGCAACGCCGCGUGAGUGAUGAAGGUCUUCGGUUCGGAAAACUCUGUUAUUAGGGAAGAACAAAUGUGUAAGUAACUAUGCACGGCUUGACGGUACCUAAUCAGAAAGCCCCGGCUAACUACGUG